AACGAACGCUGGCGGCAUGCCUAACACAUGCAAGUCGAACGAGACCUUCGGGUCUAGUGGCGCACGGGUGCGUAACGCGUGGGAACCUGCCCUUAGGUUCGGAAUAACUCCCCGAAAGGGGUGCUAAUACCGGAUAAUGUCUUCGGACCAAAGAUUUAUCGCCUUUGGAUGGGCCCGCGUUGGAUUAGCUAGUUGGUAGGGUAAAAGCCUACCAAGGCGACGAUCCAUAGCUGGUCUGAGAGGAUGAUCAGCCACACUGGGACUGAGACACGGCCCAGACUACUACGGGAGGCAGCAGUGGGGAGUAUUGGACAAUGGGCGAAAGCCUGAUCCAGCAAUGCCGCGUGAGUGAUGAAGGCCUUAGGGUUGUAAAGCUCUUUUACCCGGGAUGAUAAUGACAGUACCGGGAGAAUAAGCUCCGGCUAAGUCCGUG
rnacentral:rRNA from 1 species